AACGAACGCUGGCGGCAGGCCUAACACAUGCAAGUCGAGCGCUCACCUUCGGGUGGGAGCGGCGCACGGGUGAGUAACACGUGGGAACCUACCUUGAAGUACGGAAUAACUGAGGGAAACUUCAGCUAAUACCGUAUACGCCCUACGUGGGAAAGAUUUAUCGCUUCAAGACGGGCCCGCGUUGGAUUAGCUAGUGGGUGAGGUAAUGGCUCACCAAGGCAACGAUCCAUAGCUGAUUUGAGAGAAUGAUCAGCCACACUGGGACUGAGACACGGCCCAGACUCCUACGGGAGGCAGCAGUGGGGAAUAUUGGACAAUGGGCGCAAGCCUGAUCCAGUCAUGCCGCGUGAGUGAUGAAGGCCUUCGGGUUGUAAAGCUCUUUCAGAUGGGACGAUGAUGACGGUACCAUCAGAAGAAGCCCCGGCUAACUUCGUGCCAGCAGCCGCCGCGG
rnacentral:rRNA from 1 species